rnacentral:rRNA from 1 species
AUGGGCGAAAGCCUGACCCAGCGACACCGCGUGGAGGAAGAAGGCCUUCGGGUUGUAAACUCCUUUUAUCGGGGAAGAAUAAUGACGGUACCCGGGGAAUAAGCCUCGGCUAACUACGUGCCAGCAGCCGCGGUAAUACGUAGGAGGCGAGCGUUAUCCGGAUUUACUGGGCGUAAAGGGAGCGUAGGCGGUUCCUUAAGUCAGAUGUGAAAUCUUCUGAUUCAAUCAGAAGGCGUCAUUUGAUACUGAGGGACUUGAGAGCAACAGAGGGAAAUGGAAUCCCCAGUGUAGCGGUGAAAUGCGUAGAUAUUGGGGAGAACACCAGUGGCGAAGGCGAUUUCCCAGGUUGUUUCUGACGCUGAGGCUCGAAAGCGUGGGGAGCGAAGCGGAUUAGAUACCCGCGUAGUCCACGCCGUAAACGGUGGACACUANAUAUGGGGAGUAUCGACCCUUUCCGUGUCGAAGCUAACGCCUUAAGUGUCCCGCCUGGGGAGUACGGCCGCAAGGCUAAAACUCAAAGGAAUUGACGGGGGACCGCACAAGCAGCGGAGCGUGUGGUUUAAUUCGAUGCUACACGAAGAACCUUACCAGGACUUGACAUGGCAGAAGUAGGAAUCCGAAAGGAGGACGACCUGUAUCCAGUCAGGAGUUGUCACAGGUGCUGCAUGGCUGUCGUCAGUUCGUGCCGUGAGGUGUUGGGUUAAGUCCCGCAACGAGCGCAACCCUUGUCCUAUGUUAAAUUCUCAUAGGAGACUGCCUUGUACAGCAAGGAGGAAGGAAAGGAUGACGUCAAGUCAGCAUGGCCUUUAUGUCCUGGGCUACACACACGCUACAAUGGGUGAUACAACGGGUUGCCAAGGAGCGAUCUGGAGCUAAUCCCCUAAAAUCAUCCUCAGUUCGGAUUGCAGGCUGAAAUCGCCUGCAUGAAGUCGGAGUUGCUAGUAACCGCAGGUCAGCUAUACUGCGGUGAAUACGUUCUCGGUCCUUGUACACACCGCCCGUCACGCCAUGGAAGCCGGCAACACCCGAAGUCGAUGGGCUAACCCCGACUUGUCGGGGGGGCAGUCGCCGAAGGUGGGGUUGGUAACUAUGACGAAGUCGUAACAAGGUAACCUUAAUUAAAAA